GACGAACGCUGGCGGCGUGCCUAAUACAUGCAAGUCGAGCGAAUCUUUGGGAGCUUGCUCCCAAAGAUUAGCGGCGGACGGGUGAGUAACACGUGGGCAACCUGCCUAUAAGACUGGGAUAACUUCGGGAAACCGGAGCUAAUACCGGAUAACUCUUUUCCUCUCAUGGGGAAAAGCUGAAAGACGGUUUCGGCUGUCACUUAUAGAUGGGCCCGCGGCGCAUUAGCUAGUUGGUGAGGUAACGGCUCACCAAGGCAACGAUGCGUAGCCGACCUGAGAGGGUGAUCGGCCACACUGGGACUGAGACACGGCCCAGACUCCUACGGGUGGCUG
rnacentral:rRNA from 1 species